rnacentral:tRNA from 1 species
GCCGCUGUGGUGGAAUUAGGCAGACACGCUAGUCUUAGGAACUAGUGCCCACGGGCAUGGGGGUUCGAGUCCCUCCUGCGGCACCA